AGGACGAACGCUGGCGGCGUGCUUAACACAUGCAAGUCGAGCGGAAAGGCCCUUCGGGGUACUCGAGCGGCGAACGGGUGAGUAACACGUGAGCAACCUGCCCUUAGCUCCGGGAUAGCUCCGGGAAACCGGAAUUAAUACCGGAUACGACCACGGCCGACAUCUGCUGUGGUGGAAAGGAUUCCGGCUAAGGAUGGGCUCGCGGCCUAUCAGCUAGUUGGUGGAGUAACGGCCCACCAAGGCGACGACGGGUAGCCGGCCUGAGAGGGCGACCGGCCACACUGGGACUGAGACACGGCCCAGACUCCUACGGGAGGCAGCAGUGGGAAUAUUGCGCAAUGGGCGAAAGCCUGACGCAGCGACGCCGCGUGGGGGAUGAAGGCCUUCGGGUUGUAAACCCUUUCAGCAGGGACGAAGCGAAAGUGACGGUACCUGCAGAAGAAGCGCCGGCUAACGUACGCGCCAGCAGCCGC
rnacentral:rRNA from 1 species